GACGAACGCUGGCGGCGUGCUUAACACAUGCCAGUCGAACGGAAAGGCCCUGCUUUUGUGGGGUGCUCGAGUGGCGAACGGGUGAGUAACACGUGAGUAACCUGCCCUUGACUUUGGGAUAACUUCAGGAAACUGGGGCUAAUACCGGAUAGGAGCUCCUGCUGCAUGGUGGGGGUUGGAAAGUUUCGGCGGUUGGGGAUCGACUCGCGGCUUAUCAGCUUGUUGGUGGGGUAGUGGCUUACCAAGGCUUUGACGGGUAGCCGGCCUGAGAGGGUGACCGGCCACAUUGGGACUGAGAUACGGCCCAGACUCCUACGGGAGGCAGCAGUGGGGAAUAUUGCACAAUGGGCGGAAGCCUGAUGCAGCAACGCCGCGUGCGGGAUGACGGCCUUCGGGUUGUAAACCGCUUUCGCCUGUGACGAAGCGUGAGUGACGGUAAUGGGUAAAGAAGCACCGGCUAACUACGUG
rnacentral:rRNA from 1 species